GACGGGGCCCGCACAAGCGGUGGAGCAUGUGGUUUAAUUCGAUGCAACGCGAGAACCUUACCUGGUCUUGACAUCCCGGAGACCCUUAGGAACUAGGGGUGCUUCCAUCUGGAAGAAUCUGGAGACAGGUGCUGCAUGGCUGUCGUCAGCUCGUGUCGUGAGAUGUUGGGUUAAGUCCCGCAACGAGCGCAACCCUUGCCUUUAGUUGCCAGCAGUUCGGCUGGGCACUCUAAAGGGACUGCCGGUGUUAAACCGGAGGAAGGUGGGGAUGACGUCAAGUCCUCAUGGCCUUUAUGACCAGGGCUACACACGUACUACAAUGGCCGAUACAAAGGGCAGCGACACUGCGAGGUGAAGCCAAUCCCGUAAAAUCGGUCUCAGUCCGGAUUGGAGUCUGCAACUCGACUCCAUGAAGUUGGAAUCGCUAGUAAUCGUGGAUCAGCAUGCCACGGUGAAUACGUUCCCGGGCCUU
rnacentral:rRNA from 1 species